rnacentral:piRNA from 1 species
UGCUCAGUAAUGGAUCAGAAGUUGAUGAC